UAUAUGUAAUCUGUGUUUUAGGAAGCUGAAUAUGGUGGACAUGAUCAGAUUGAUUUGUAUGAUGAUGUCAUUUCUCCAUCUGCAAAUAAUGGAGAUGCCCCAGAGGACCGUGAUUAUAUGGACUCUCUCCCACCAUCUGUGGGAGAUGAUGUAGGUAAAGGAGCAGCACCAAAUGUGGUCUAUACCUAUACUGGAAAGAGAAUUGCAUUAUACAUUGGGAAUCUUACCUGGUGGACAACAGAUGAAGACUUAACUGAAGCAGUCCAUUCUCUGGGAGUUAAUGAUAUUUUGGAGAUAAAAUUUUUUGAAAACCGUGCUAAUGGCCAGUCAAAAGGGUUUGCUCUUGUAGGUGUUGGGUCUGAAGCAUCCUCAAAAAAGUUGAUGGAUCUGUUGCCUAAAAGAGAAUUGCAUGGGCAGAAUCCUGUUGUAACUCCAUGUAAUAAACAGUUCCUGAGUCAAUUUGAAAUGCAGUCAAGGAAAACUACACAGUCAGGUCAGAUGUCUGGAGAAGGUAAAGCUGGUCCUCCAGGAGGUAGUUCACGUGCAGCAUUUCCACCAACUAACAGAGGGCGAGGCCGUUUUCCAGGUGCCAUUCCAGGUGCGGACAGAUUUCCUGGACCUGCAGGGCCAGGAGGACCACCGCCUCCUUUUCCAGCUGGACAGAAUCCACCACGUCCACCCCUAGGUCCUCCUGGUCCACCAGGCCCUCCAGGUCCCCCUCCUCCUGGUCAGGUUCUUCCUCCUCCAUUAGCUGGGCCUCCUAAUCGCGGUGACCGUCCUCCUCCUCCAGUUCUGUUUCCUGGACAACCCUUUGGUCAACCUCCACUGGGGCCACUUCCUCCUGGACCUCCACCUCCAGUUCCAGGCUAUGGCCCACCUCCAGGUCCACCGCCACCACAGCAGGGUCCACCUCCUCCACCAGGCCCUUUUCCCCCUCGACCCCCUGGUCCUCUCGGGCCACCCCUGACACUUGCUCCUCCUCCACAUCUUACUGGGCCACCUCCAAGUGGUCCCCCACCUGCACCACAUGUGAAUCCAGCUUUCUUCCCCCCACCUGCCAAUAGUGGUAUACCUACUUCAGACAGCCGUGGUCCACCACCAACAGAUCCAUAUGGUCGACCUCCACCAUAUGACAGAGGUGACUAUGGGCCACCUGGAAGGCGUUUCACUGGAAAUAACAUGUCCAUAAGAGAAAAAUUACAUAUUCCAUUCUAUGGGAGGCACACGAAAAAUAAUACUCAAAACUCAGGGAGAGAAAUGGAUGCUGCAAGAACACCCUUAAGUGAAGCAGAGUUUGAAGAAAUCAUGAAUAGAAAUAGGGCUAUCUCAAGCAGUGCCAUUUCAAGAGCUGUGUCAGAUGCCAGUGCUGGGGACUAUGGAAGUGCUAUAGAAACCUUAGUAACUGCAAUUUCCUUAAUUAAACAAUCCAAAGUAUCCGCUGAUGAUCGUUGUAAAGUACUUAUUAGCUCUCUUCAGGAUUGCCUUCAUGGGAUUGAGUCCAAGUCUUAUGGAUCUGGAUCAAGAAGACGUGAACGAUCAAGGGAGAGGGACCACAGUAGGUCGAGAGAAAAAAGCAGACGUCACAAGUCCCGUAGCAGAGAUCGUCACGAUGACUAUUACCGGGAAAGAAGCCGUGAGCGAGAGAGACAUCGUGAUCGUGACAGAGAUCGCGACAGAGAACGUGACAGAGAACGGGAGUAUCGUCAUCGUUAAAGAAGCAGUAUGUACUGAAUCCUUUCUUCUUGUAGCAUCUGAGGCAAACUUCGCUGAAGGAAGAGGAACACCUUGCAAGACAAGAAACAUUCUUCAAGGAAAGAUGCUUGUCCAGCAGUUUGCUUCUUGUGAUUGAACUGAGCCUGUAAGGAUUCAUGGAUAAAAUGAACAGGAAUAGAUCUGAAUAAAGCAAAUCUGCAUACAUGGUAACCAGUAGCUCUUUUACUUUUUUAUGUUGCUUAAUUGUUUUAUUUGAGGGAAACCUGUGUGAUUUAAAACUUAUAGCUUUUGCAACUUUAUUACUGGUUAUAUACAUUUGGCAAUUAUAAUGUGCAAGCAAUUGGAAAAAAAGUCAAGUAAAUGCUUGUUUUUAUAGUAGUUUGUUCUUGUUAAAAAUGUUCAUAUGAUAAUGUCUGUACACGGCACCACUUUGAUUACAAUAGAUGUAGUGUUGUAAUAAACUGUUUAAUGGGG